AUGGCCGGGGCCACCAUCACGGCCACUGUCAUCCUUGUCUCGGCGGGAGAAGCCUACCUGGUGCACACAGACCGGCUCUAGCCCCUCUCCGACUUCAACAACUAUGUGGCUGCCGUGUACAAGGUGCUGGGGACCUUCCUGUUCAGGGUGGCCGUGAGCCAGUCUCUGACGGACCUGGCCAAGUACACGAUCGGCCGCCUGCGCCCCAACUUCCUGGCCGUCUGUGACCCCGAGUGGAGCCGGGUCAACUGCUCCGUCUACGUGCAGCUGGAGAGGGUGUGCAGGGGAAAUGCUGCUGACCUCUCCUCCCUCAGGUUGUCUUUCUACUCAGGAUACGCCUCCUUUGGAAUGUACUGCAUGGUGUUCCUGGCGAUGAGUCCAUUUCUCCGGGGCUCGCCUCUCUACGUGCAGGCACGGCUCUGCUGGAAGUGGGCGCGGCUGCUGCGGCCCACUGUCCAGUUCUUCCUGGUGGCCUUUGCCCUCUAUGUGGGCUACACCCACGUGUCUGAUCACAAACACCACUGGAGCGACGUCCUUGCUGGCCUCCUGCAGGGAGUGCUGAUGGCUGGCCUCACUGUCGGCUACAUCUCAGACUUCUUCAAAGCCCGAACCCCACAUCACUGCCUGAAGGAGGAGGAGCUGGAAUGGAAGCCCAGCCUGUCACUGACAGUGACCCUGGGCGAGACUGACCACAGCCACUAUGGGUACCCGCACUCCUCCUCCUGAGGCUGGAUGCCACCCAGGCAGGGGGUGGCUGUGAGUCCAGCUGAGGCUGCCCCCGCAGGUGUUCCCUCUGGCCCUGGGUAGGCACUGAGGGCUCCGGAUGGACUCCAGGAACCCUGGGCUGACGGGAGCAGUGAGCAGGCUCUGCUGCCCCCUGCCCUGCACUGGACCAGGGGUCUGGGGAGGCCUAGGUAGCCCUGAGCAUUUGGAGGGGGACCUGUUCCCAUAGCUCCCCAAUAUCCCCAUUCUUUUAUGGGGUUAAGGAAGGAACUGAAAGUUCAGAUAGUUGCUGUUUUGUAAAAUGUAAUGUACAUGUGGUUUUUAGUAAAAUGGGGCAUUGGUUUGA